rnacentral:rRNA from 1 species
GACGAACGCUGGCGGCGUGCUUAACACAUGCAAGUCGAACGGAAAGGCCCUGCUUGCAGGGUACUCGAGUGGCGAACGGGUGAGUAACACGUGGGUGAUCUGCCCUGCACUUCGGGAUAAGCCUGGGAAACUGGGUCUAAUACCGGAUAGGAGCCAUUUUUAGUGUGAUGGUUGGAAAGUUUUUUCGGUGUAGGAUGAGCGCGCGGCCCAUCAGCUUGUUGGUGGGGUAAUGGCCUACCAAGGCGGCGGCGGGUAGCCGGCCUGGGUGGGUGGACCGCCACAUUGGGACUGAGAUACGGCCCAGACUCCGACGGGAGGGAGCAGUGGGGAAGAUUGAACAAUGGGCGCAAGCCUGAUGCAGCGACGCCGCGUGGGGGAUGACGGCCUUCGGGUUGUAAACUCCUUUCGCUAGGGACGAAGCUUUUUGUGACGGUACCUAGAUAAGAAGCACCGGCUAACUACGUG